rnacentral:misc_RNA from 1 species
GAUGAAGAACGUAGCGAAAUGCGAUAAUUAAUGUGAAUUGCAGAAUUUAGUGAAUCAUCGAAUCUUUGAACGCACAUUGCGCCCCUUGGUAUUCCGGGGGGCAUGCCUGUUCGAGCGUCAUUGCAACCCCUCAAGCACAGCUUGUGUGUUGGGCUCUCGUCCCCCGUGGACGGGCCUGAAAUGCAGUGGCAGCACCGAGAUACCGGUGUCUGAGUGUAUGGGCAUUGAUCAUCACUCGAUAGACCCGAUCGGCGCUGACCGUCAAACCACGAUUCCUCGGAAUCAUCCAGUUUUGACCUCGGAUCAGGUAGGAAUACCCGCUGAACUUAAGCAUAUCAAUAAGCGGAGGA